AGCAGAGUAGAGUAAUGGCAACUCAUCAGGCUCAUAACCUGAACUAAGGCGGUUCAAAUCCGCUCUCUGCAA
rnacentral:tRNA from 1 species